AAACUUAUCUGGACGGGGUCGAUGGGCGAUUAGGAAGGCUCGCGGCCUAGGUCAAUGGCUGCCAUUGCAUUGUGGUGGCGCGUUGGUUUACCAUCUCUCCAAGUGGGAGAGUGGUUGCGUGGUCUGCCAUUGCAUUGUGGUGGCGCGUUGGUUUACCAUCUCUCCAA